GCGCUACUGUGCGGUAAUUACAAAGACGCCCCCUGAUGAAAACGUCCUCAUUAACUUGUGCAGAUAAUUGCGCCGAGGAACAAUCAAAGCUGGGACGAACGCAUCUCCCCUGCCCUCCCUCCGUCCCGUCGGCGGAGAAAUGAUAUUGAAUGCAGCAUAUCGUGACCAUGACUCACCCUCUCUCCGUACAGCGGAGAACAAUAGCUACAACAAAUGUAGCCCUCAGCGGUCCGAAGUGAAUCAUUCCUUAACUUUGUUACAGAAGCUAUUAAAGUCGACACGCUGCGCCGCGGCUGGAGGCGUAGCGAGUAGAUGAAAUGCUAUGGAGACAGGACUCUGUUUUCCCACAGCUGAGACUCCCGCUGAAGAGGCACAAGAAAAUGCGAAGACACCCAAAAUCCACGAGGUGUAACAAGGGAUAGCCUUCCUGCCCCGGGGAAGGAGAGAAGAGCUAGUAUGAGUAGUUAUUUUGGGAAGUUCUGAAGUUUCGAUCCGGGCAGAGCGAAAGAGGGGAGGAUAUUUCAGCGAGAAAGUAGAGGCCUUCAGCUGGUCAGAACCUGCCUCCCUCCUCCUGUUGCCUCCGUGGGACAGAGAGCGUCUUUGUUCUGCCUCACCGGUGAACCAUUCAGUGAAGAAAAGCUUCCGUCUCGUGGAAUGGGCCACCUAGGACACCUGUGUUUAGAGGGAGCUGUAAUUUGGGAGAAACUCCAACAGACUCUUGGACUCUAAAACCUGAAAAUAGUGAGCAUACGCGGCUCUGGAACAAUUCAGAGAACGGGAGCAGCAGUCACGAAGAAUCCCAUCUAAAGAUAGAUUCAUGGAAAUAUGUUGGAGAAGACAAAAGGGCUCAGCUUGGCAGGAAGCGACGGGGUAACACACAAGCUGGCAGUGAUGCGUGCACAGAAACGGUGGCGAUCGUCCUGCUUGGCCAGCAGAAUGUGUGUCUGCCUGUCGUUUGCCUCAGUUCCAGGAUUUUUGAUUUGGUUUUGUGUGUGCUAUGGAGGUUAUGGAGGCAUGGGGGGUUAUCCGAUGAAGGAUGUGUUGCUGCAGGGCUCUUAAGGUUAGGUCUGCUACACAAACAGGCGGCCUCUGUAACCCAUGGCCACAAUCGGCUUAAAAAGAGAGGAGAAGGUGAACAGACGAGAAAUGAUCUGAGCAAUAUUGCAAUUUAGCGCGGAGCAUAUUGUCUUCCUCCCUCCCUGGCUGAAGUAUUUCUCAUGUUGUUGGAAAGCAAUUUGGUUUUUUGAGCAUAUGGGAAAUCAAAUCUCCACUAAAUGAAAAUGAUUUGUUUAAGAUAACUCUGCCGAAGCAAUAAACCGUUUAAUAUUCCAA